rnacentral:rRNA from 1 species
GACGAACGCUGGCGGCGUGCCUAAUACAUGCAAGUAGAACGCAGUUGCGAACGGGUGAGUAACGCGUAGGUAACUGCCUCAUAGCGGGGGAUAACUAUUGGAAACGGUAGCUAAUACCGCAUACUGUGAGAUGGACCGGCGUGGUAUUAGCUAGUUGGUGAGGUAAAGGCUCACCAAGGCGACGAGACAUAGCCUACCGGGGAGGGGUAUCGGCCACACUGGGACUGGGACACGGGCCAGAAUCCUACGGGAGGGAGGAGUAGGGGAACUUCGGAAAUGGGCGGAAGUCUGACCGAGCACCGGCGCGUGAGUGAAGAAGGUUCUUGGAUCGUAAAGCUCUGUUGUGAGAGAAGCGGUAACUAAACAGAAAGGGACGGCUAACUACGUGCCAGCAGCCGCGGUAAUAC